GAGGAUUUGGUACAACCACUUCCUGAGGAUUGCCCUGGAUGCCCCAGGAAAAUUCCUGUAGACAGCCCAGAGGUGACAGAGGCACUUGGUCAUGCCAUCAGAAAACUCAACACACAGAAUAGCCAUUCUUUCUAUUUCAAGAUUGACACCGUGAAAAAAGCGACAUCACAGGUGGUGGCUGGAAUGAAAUAUUUUAUCGAGUUCAUAGCCAGAGAAACUGAAUGUUCCAGGGAGAGCAAUGCAGAACUGACAGAAAACUGUGAAGUCAAACCCGUUGGCCAAAGUCUCAACUGCAACGCUAACGUGUACAUGAGACCUUGGG